ACGAACCGUCCAAACGUUAUUCGGUAUCACUGGGCUUAAAGCGUUCGUAGGCGGCCUAGUAGGUGAGAUGUGAAAGCCCACGGCUCAACCGUGGAACAGCGUUUCAAACCACUAGGCUCGAGGAUGGCAGGGGUAAUGGGAACUGAUGGUGGAGCGGUGAAAUGCGUUGAUAUCAUCAGGAACACCGGUGGCGAAAGCGCAUUACUGGGCCAUUUCUGACGCUGAGGAACGAAAGCUAGGGUAGCGAACGGG
rnacentral:rRNA from 1 species